rnacentral:tRNA from 1 species
CUGGGCUUUGCUUAGAGGUUAAAGCGUCUGCCUCCAAUGCGGGAAACCUGGGUUCAAUCCCUGGGUCGGGA